GAUGAACGCUGGCGGCGUGCCUAAUACAUGCAAGUCGAGCGAACAGACGAGGAGCUUGCUCCUCUGACGUUAGCGGCAGACGGGUGAGUAACACGUGGAUAACCUACCUAUAAGACUGGGAUAACUUCGGGAAACCGGAGCUACUACCGGCUAAUAUAUUGAACCGCAUGGUUCAAUAGUGAAAUACGGUUUUGCUGUCACUUAUAGAUGGAUCCGCGCCGCAUUAGCUAGUUGGUAAGGUAACGGCUUACCAAGGCAACGAUGCGUAGCCGACCUGAGAGGGUGAUCGGCCACACUGGAACUGAGACACGGUCCAGACUCCUACGGGAGGCAGCAGUAGGGAAUCUUCCGCAAUGGGCGAAAGCCUGACGGAGCAACGCCGCGUGAGUGAUGAAGGUCUUCGGAUCGUAAAACUCUGUUAUUAGGGAAGAAAAAAUGUGUAAGUAACUAUGCACGUCUUGACGGUACCUAAUCAGAAAGCCACGGCUAACUACGUG
rnacentral:rRNA from 1 species